rnacentral:rRNA from 1 species
CAAGCUUUUAAGAGCAGAUGGCGGAUGCCUUGCCAAAGAGAGGCGAUGAAGGACGUACUAGACUGCGAUAAGCUAUGCGGAGCUGUCAAGGAGCUUUGAUGCGUAGAUGUCCGAAUGGGGCAACCCAACUAAUAGAGAUAUUAGUUACUCUAACUAUAGAGAGCGAACCUAGUGAAGUGAAACAUCUCAGUAACUAGAGGAAAAGAAAUCAACGAGAUUCCCUAAGUAGUGGCGAGCGAACGGGAAAAGGGCAAACCGAGUGCUUGCAUUCGGGGUUGAGGACUGCAAUAUCCAAGAGAACGCUUUAGCAGAGUUACCUGGAAAGGUAAGCCAUAGAAAGUGAUAGCCUUGUAUGCGACAAGGCGUUUUUAGGUAGCAGUAUCCAGAGUAGGCCAGGACACGAGAAAUCCAGGUUGAAGCCCGGGGAGACCACUCUCCAACCCUAAAUACUACUCUUUGAGCGAUAGCGAACAAGUACCGUGAGGGAAAGGUGAAAAGAACCGCAGUGAGCGGAGUGAAAUAGAACCUGAAACCAUCUGCUUACAAUCAUUCAGAGCCCUAUGAUUUAUCAGGGUGAUGGACUGCCUUUUGCAUAAUGAUCCUGCGAGUUGUGGUAUCUGGCAAGGUUAAGCGAAUGCGAAGCCGUAGCGAAAGCGAGUCUUAAUAGGGCGCUUGAGUCAGAUGCUGCAGACCCGAAGCUAAGUGAUCUAUCCAUGGCCAAGUUGAAACGCGUGUAAUAGCGCGUGGAGGACUGAACUCGUACCCAUUGAAACGGGUUGGGAUGAGCUGUGGAUAGGGGUGAAAGGCCAAACAAACUUAGUGAUAGCUGGUUCUCUUCGAAAUAUAUUUAGGUAUAGCCUCAAGUGAUAAUAAAAGGGGGUAGAGCGCUGAUUGGGCUAGGGCUGCUCGCCGCGGUACCAAACCCUAUCAAACUUCGAAUACCUUUUAUCGUAUCUUGGGAGUCAGGCGGUGGGUGAUAAAAUCAAUCGUCAAAAGGGGAACAACCCAGACUACCGAAUAAGGUCCCUAAGUUCUAUUCUGAGUGGAAAAAGAUGUGUGGCUACUCAAACAACCAGGAGGUUGGCUUAGAAGCAGCCAUCCUUUAAAGAAAGCGUAACAGCUCACUGGUCUAGUGGUCAUGCGCUGAAAAUAUAACGGGGCUAAGAUAGACACCGAAUUUGUAGAUUGUGUUUGACACAGUGGUAGAAGAGCGUUCAUACCAGCGUUGAAGGUAUACCGGUAAGGAGUGCUGGAGCGGUAUGAAGUGAGCAUGCAGGAAUGAGUAACGAUAAGAUAUAUGAGAAUUGUAUCCGCCGUAAAUCUAAGGUUUCCUACGCGAUGGUCGUCAUCGUAGGGUUAGUCGGGUCCUAAGCCGAGUCCGAAAGGGGUAGGUGAUGGCAAAUUGGUUAAUAUUCCAAUACCGACUUAUGGAGCGUGAUGGGGGACGCAUAGGGUUAAGCGAGCUAGCUGAUGGAAGCGCUAGUCUAAGGGCGUAGAUUGGAGGAAGGCAAAUCCACCUCUGUAUUUGAAACCCAAACAGGCUCUUUGAGUCCUUUUAGGACAAAGGGAGAAUCGCUGAUACCGUCGUGCCAAGAAAAGCCUCUAAGCAUAUCCAUAGUCGUCCGUACCGCAAACCGACACAGGUAGAUGAGAUGAGUAUUCUAAGGCGCGUGAAAGAACUCUGGUUAAGGAACUCUGCAAACUAGCACCGUAAGUUCGGCGAUAAGGUGUGCCACAGCGAUGUGGUCUCAGCAAAGAGUACCCUCCCGACUGUUUACCAAAAACACAAGCAACUUUUGCCAAACUCGUAAGAGGAAGUAUAAGGUGUGACGCCUGCCCGGUGCUCGAAGGUUAAGAGAAUGCGUCAGUCGCAAGAUGAAGCGUUGAAUUGAAGCCCGAGUAAACGGCGGCCGUAACUAUAACGGUCCUAAGGUAGCGAAAUUCCUUGUCGGUUAAAUACCGACCUGCAUGAAUGGCGUAACGAGAUGGGAGCUGUCUCAACCAGAGAUUCAGUGAAAUUGUAGUGGAGGUGAAAAUUCCUCCUACCCGCGGCAAGACGGAAAGACCCCGUGGACCUUUACUACAACUUAGCACUGCUAAUGGGAAUAUCAUGCGCAGGAUAGGUGGGAGGCUUUGAAGUAAGGGCUUUGGCUCUUAUGGAGCCAUCCUUGAGAUACCACCCUUGAUGUUUCUGUUAGCUAACUGGCCUGUGUUAUCCACAGGCAGGACAAUGCUUGGUGGGUAGUUUGACUGGGGCGGUCGCCUCCUAAAAAGUAACGGAGGCUUGCAAAGGUUGGCUCAUUGCGGUUGGAAAUCGCAAGUUGAGUGUAAUGGCACAAGCCAGCCUGACUGUAAGACAUACAAGUCAAGCAGAGACGAAAGUCGGUCAUAGUGAUCCGGUGGUUCUGUGUGGAAGGGCCAUCGCUCAAAGGAUAAAAGGUACCCCGGGGAUAACAGGCUGAUCUCCCCCAAGAGCUCACAUCGACGGGGAGGUUUGGCACCUCGAUGUCGGCUCAUCGCAUCCUGGGGCUGGAGCAGGUCCCAAGGGUAUGGCUGUUCGCCAUUUAAAGCGGUACGCGAGCUGGGUUCAGAACGUCGUGAGACAGUUCGGUCCCUAUCUGCCGUGGGCGUAGGAAAGUUGAGGAGAGCUGUCCCUAGUACGAGAGGACCGGGAUGGACGUGUCACUGGUGCACCAGUUGUUCUGCCAAGAGCAUCGCUGGGUAGCUACACACGGAUGUGAUAACUGCUGAAAGCAUCUAAGCAGGAAGCCAACUCCAAGAUAAACUUUCCCUGAAGCUCGCACAAAGACUAUGUGCUUGAUAGGGUAGAUGUGUAAGCGCAGUAAUGCGUUUAGCUGACUACUACUAAUAGAGCGUUUGGCUUGUUUU